rnacentral:RNase_P_RNA from 2 species
GCAGUGAGCCGGGCGAUCGCUGCCGCCGGUAACCCCGCCGCAAGGUGGGAAGUGCCGGCGGGAGAGGAAAGUCCGAACUCCAUAGGGCAGUGCGCCGGGUAACACCCGGGCGGGGCAACCCGACGGACAGUGGCACAGAAAAUAUACCGCCUGGGGCAACCUGGGUAAGGGUGAAAAGGUGCGGUAAGAGCGCACCGCGCUCCUGGCAACAGGGGUGGCAGGCCAAACCCCGCACGGAGCAAGACCAAAUAGGGAGACGAGGCACCCCAGCGCGGCUGCCGCGCUGGGGACCCCGCCAAAUGGCUGCCCGCCUAAAGUCUCCGGGUAGGUUGCUCGACCCCGCCAGUAAUGUCGGGGCUAGAGGAAUGAUCGUCUCGCCGUAGCCCGAGGCCGCAAGGCCGAGGGCGACGGUGGAACAGAAUUCGGCUUACAGGCUCACUGCGGCA